GUCGAGCGGAACGGCAGUAUUGAAGCUUCGGUGGAUUUACUGGACGUCGAGCGGCGGACGGGUGAGUAACGGCUGGGAACCUGCCCUGACGAGGGGGAUAACCGUUGGAAACGACGGCUAAUACCGCAUAAUGUCUACGGACCAAAGGUGGCCUCUACAUGUAAGCUAUCGCGUUGGGAUGGGCCCAGUUAGGAUUAGCUAGUUGGUAAGGUAACGGCUUACCAAGGCGACGAUCCUUAGCUGGUUUGAGAGGAUGAUCAGCCACACUGGGACUGAGACACGGCCCAGACUCCUACGGGAGGCAGCAGUGGGGAAUAUUGCACAAUGGGGGAGACCCUGAUGCAGCCAUGCCGCGUGUGUGAAGAAGGCCUUCGGGUUGUAAAGCACUUUCAGCAGUGAGGAAGGUAGUGUACUUAAUACGUGCAUUGCUUGACGUUAGCUGCAGAAGAAGCACCGGCUAACUCCGUGCCAGCAGCCGCGGUAAUACGGAGGGUGCGAGCGUUAAUCGGAAUUACUGGGCGUAAAGCGCAUGCAGGCGGUUUGUUAAGUCAGAUGUGAAAGCCCGGGGCUCAACCUCGGAACCGCAUUUGAAACUGGCAGGCUAGAGUCUUGUAGAGGGGGGUAGAAUUUCAGGUGUAGCGGUGAAAUGCGUAGAGAUCUGAAGGAAUACCAGUGGCGA
rnacentral:rRNA from 1 species